UGGGAGUAGGUGCAUUGGAACAUGCCCUUCCUCGCUGUUAGCCAGGGAAGAGACAAGAAGCACUAGGACGGUCAGUCUUGAGCUGAGAAUGAUCUUACAGGGAAGACACCUCAUUUCACUCAUACAAACCAAGAGUGUCCGAAUGCGGUGGGAGGUAUUUCAGGGAAGCAGAAGUAAUCUUGCCACUCGAAGUCUGACUCGUGGAUGGAGCAGUGGGGUGGGCGUCUCUCAGGAUCUUGUUGGAAAAGCAGAAGCUCGGCUCUCGUGGGAGACCUCCCGAAGCCGAUCUGAAGAUCCUGCAGUGAUUUACGUGCAUUUUAAGGACUGCAUGGCACUGGAUGCGACGCCAUUGCCUGGCUCUCGUUUCCUGCCACCCUCUCUCCAACACAGCACUGCAUCACAGACCAGUGGCACCCUUUGAAAUGCCCUCUCUCCAGGA
rnacentral:lncRNA from 1 species